CCAAAUAAGUCCUCAUUAAUUAUUCAUACAUUAUUUUACAAAAAUAGUGAGGACAACUAAAACAUCUUCCUAGCACCAUCACUCCAUACCCCGACUCGAUCCUGCUAUGUUCUCACUUCCUGAGAAGAAAAAUGGAACAAAAAGGAAAAGGGUGAGCUCAACUAGCCCAGUAAAGAAUAUUAUGACUAAGAUAAUAUACAACAAAUUAUCGUUAGUCUUCAACAGGGAAAAAUCUAAUAGAAUACAAUAGACAACAAGUUUUAGAUCAACAAAUGCAGCGGAAACAGCAAUCCAUUAGAA
rnacentral:lncRNA from 1 species